rnacentral:rRNA from 1 species
GUCUACACCCAUGCCACCCUGAACAAGCCCCAUAUCUGAUCUCAGAAGCUAAGCAGGUCAGGCCUGGUUAGUACUUGGAUGGGAGACCACCUAGGAAGACCAGGUGCUGUAGGCA